rfam:Cucumis sativus cultivar 9930 chromosome 1, whole genome shotgun sequence.
ACGACCUUACUUGAACAGGAUCUGUUCUAUAGGUUGUACAUCUGUGUCCUUGAGUUCUAAGGAGACAAGAACCAAAGUCUGGUGGAUGAAUAGCUGCCCUGUGGCUAGAGCGUGAUUAACGGUUCAACAGAUCUCGAUCUGGCGACUGUAGAGGAUCGUUCUUGGCAGAUUUCGGCCUGUCGGGAUGGCCACAAGGCGGUCUGACAGACC